rnacentral:rRNA from 1 species
CCACGCCGUAAACGAUGGAUACUAGGUGUGGGAGGUAUUGACCCCUUCCGUGCCGGAGUUAACACAAUAAGUAUCCCACCUGGGGAGUACGGCCGCAAGGUUGAAACUCAAAGGAAUUGACGGGGGCCCGCACAAGCAGUGGAGUAUGUGGUUUAAUUCGAAGCAACGCGAAGAACCUUACCAAGUCUUGACAUCCCGAUGACCGGUGCAGAGAUGUGCCUUUUCUUCGGAACAUCGGAGACAGGUGGUGCAUGGUUGU